AGCCAGGCAUAGGCAAACUUUGCCCUCUAGAUGUUUUGGGACUACAAUUCCCAUCAUCCCUAGCUAACAGGACCAGUGGUCAGGGAUGAUGGGAGUUGUAGUCCCAAAACAUCUGGAGGGCCGUGUUUGCCUAUGCCUGAGCUAA